rnacentral:rRNA from 1 species
UGUCUAAAUAAAACAAAGCAUUGCGAUGGCCGCUGGUCGGUGUUGACGCAAUGUGAUUUCUGCCCAGUGCUCUGAAUGUCAACGUGAAGAGAUUCAUCAAAAGCGCGUGUAAACACCAGGAGUAACCGGACUCUCUUGUCAAAUGCCUAUGACUAUGACUUCUCUUGCCAAAUGCCUCGUCAUCUGAUUAGAAAAAAAAA